AUUGAACGCUGGCGGCAGGCCUAACACAUGCAAGUCGAGCGAGCGGCGGACGGGUGAGUAAUGUAUGGGGACUGCCCGAUAGAGGGGGAUAACUACUGGAAACGGUAGCUAAUACCGCAUACUAUCGGAUAACCCAUAUGGGAUUAGGUAGUAGGUGAGGUAAUGGCUCACCUAGGCGACGAUCCCUAGCUGGUCUGAGAGGAUGAUCAGCGAAACUGGGACUGGGACACGGCCCAGACUCCUCCGGAGGCAGCAGUGGGGAGUGUUGCACAAUGGGCGCAAGCCUGAUGCAGCCAUGCCGCGUGUAUGGAGAAGGCCCUAGGGUUGUAAAGUACUUUCAGUCGGGAGGCGUUACCGACAGAAGAAGCACCGGCUAACUCCGUGCCAGCAGCCGCGGUAAUAC
rnacentral:rRNA from 1 species